rnacentral:rRNA from 1 species
UACGUAGGGGGCAAGCGUUGUCCGGAUUUAUUGGGCGUAAAGAGCUCGUAGGCGGUUUGUCGCGUCUGCUGUGAAAACUCGGGGCUUAACCCCGGGCCUGCAGUGGGUACGGGCAGACUAGAGUGCGGUAGGGGAGACUGGAAUUCCUGGUGUAGCGGUGAAAUGCGCAGAUAUCAGGAGGAACACCGGUGGCGAAGGCGGGUCUCUGGGCCGUAACUGACGCUGAGGAGCGAAAGCGUGGGUAGCAAACAGG